CCGUGCCCAACGAGAUCGGGAUAACACCUGGAAACAGAUGCUAAUACCGGAUAACAACAGAUGAUGCCUAUCAACUGUUUAAAAGAUGGUUCUGCUAUCACUCUUGGAUGGACCUGCGGUGCAUUAGCUAGUUGGUAGGGUAACGGCCUACCAAGGCGAUGAUGCAUAGCCGAGUUGAGAGACUGAUCGGCCACAUUGGGACUGAGACACGGCCCAAACUCCUACGGGAGGCAGCAGCC
rnacentral:rRNA from 1 species